AUUGAACGCUGGCGGCAGGCUUAACACAUGCAAGUCGAGCGGGGUGAUGGUGCUUGCACUAUCACUUAGCGGCGGACGGGUGAGUAAUGCUUAGGAAUCUGCCUAUUAGUGGGGGACAACAUCCCGAAAGGGAUGCUAAUACCGCAUACGUCCUACGGGAGAAAGCAGGGGAUCACUUGUGACCUUGCGCUAAUAGAUGAGCAUAAGUCGGAUUGGCUAGUUGGUGGGGUAAAGGCCUACCAAGGCGACGAUCUGUAGCGGGUCUGAGAGGAUGAUCCGCCACACUGGGACUGAGACACGGCCCAGACUCCCACGGGAGGCAGCAGUGGGGAAUAUUGGACAAUGGGGGGAACCCUGAUCCAGCCAUGCCGCGUGUGUGAAGAAGGCCUUAUGGUUGUAAAGCACUUUAAGCGAGGAGGAGGCUCUUUUGGUUAAUACCCAAGAUGAGUGGACGUUACUCGCAGAAUAAGCACCGGCUAACUCUGUGCCAGCCGCCGCGGUAA
rnacentral:rRNA from 1 species